ACCUGAAUUUGAAAGUGAUUGUGGGCUGCCUGUGCCCUGAUCAUUGACAGUGCAGGAGAGGAACUGCUGAAAGCAUUUCCCCAUGUUUGGAGGGCCCACCUCUGUCACCUCCAAAAUCUGGAGCUUUUGUACA